AUUCAUCACACAAUGCACCCCUUGCACACAGAAAAACACACAAUGCAUUACACACACAGACACACAUACACAAGCAAUGCAACCGUUACACACAAUGCAUCCCUUACACACACACAAACACACCUUGCAGCCCUUACACAUACAAACACAAUUUCACACAAUGCAUUCCUUACACACAUAUCAGGACAUCCCCUACACACUCCACCCCCUGUGAACAAACUCAUUGGUGGAACAUGAAGGUGGACCCUGGGACCCAGACCUUAAGCUGUGUAAAGGACCCCCAAAAAAUGGAGCUGCUUCCCGUUCUCCCAGAACAUUGAUUUUUGUGACCACAGUUACAAACCUCCUCCAGAGAGCCUGUUCUACAUCAGACCAGUGGAGCCAGACUGCAGCUAGAGCCCAUCAUCAUCCUCAUCUGGUUGUAAGUAGGCAAUCUAGUAUAUUAUUCGUGGCACUAAGCUCUAAUUUACCUCACAUUAAAGAAACACUAUAGUCCCCAGAACCACUUCAGCUUAAUGUAGUGGUUCUGGUGUCUAUAGCCUGUCCCUGCAAGCCUUUUAAUGUAAACACGGUG